UACCAGCACCCCGAGUGGUCGGGACGAUUAUUGGGCCUAAAGGAUCCGUAGCCGGCCUUACAAGUCCUCCGUUAAAUCCAGCUGCUUAACAGAUGGGCUGCGGAGGAUACUAUAAGACUAGGAGGCAGGAGAGGCAAGCGGUACUCAGUGGGUAGGGGUAAAAUCCGUUGAUCCAUUGAAGACCACCAGUGGCGAAGGCGGCUUGCCAGAAUGCGCUAGACGGUGAGGGAUGAAAGCUGGGGGAGCAAACCGG
rnacentral:rRNA from 1 species